rnacentral:sRNA from 1 species
ACUCAACAGGAAUUCUUUAAAAAGGAUGAGUCUAAGUUGUUAAAGCGCGCUAUCUUAGAAUAGAUUCUUGAUCAGCUUGUUAGUCCUAAACUUGUAUUUAAGGAGUUU